UACAGAGGGGGCAAGCGUUGUUCGGAAUUACUGGGCGUAAAGGGCGCGUAGGCGGCCAACUAAGUCGAACGUGAAAUCCCUGGGCUCAACCCAGGAACUGCGUCCGAUACUGGUUGGCUUGAAUCCGGGAGAGGGAUGCGGAAUUCCAGGUGUAGCGGUGAAAUGCGUAGAUAUCUGGAGGAACACCGGUGGCGAAGGCGGCUCACUGGCUCGUUUCUGACGCUCAGGCGCGAUAGCGUGGGGAUCAAACAGG
rnacentral:rRNA from 1 species